rnacentral:lncRNA from 1 species
UCAGUUGGGGGUGCUCUUGGCUACAAGUAGCAAUGUUAUGAACGCAUUUGCUGUCUUGUUAAUAAGAACUCCCUGGGCUGGUCUUUUCUGCUCAGUCAGGCUCAGCUGAUUGGUGACAGUGACAUUGCCCUUCCUGGCCAUACAUUGACUCUUCAAUGCCAUGCACAUGUGCGCUCAGGACCACACACAGAGCAGCAGGAAGGGGGCAUGAGGCAAGGCCUCCUCCUUCCAAGACUCUGGCCUUUUUAACAGGAAGAAAACGACUUCUCCAAAACCCAGCAAAUACUGCCUGACAUCUCACUGGCAAGAACCAGUCAAGUGCCCAUGCAUAUGACUGGUGCAGGAUGCUGCCAGUCCAGGGACGACAUUUCGAGGACCACUGGCUUCAGUGAUCUUGAGCUGGGUACAUGACCACCCAAACCAAUCAAAGGGAAAAAGCAGUUACUGUGACUUGGUGGCAACUUUAAACGGAUUUUUCA